rnacentral:rRNA from 1 species
UAUCUCUGUAGAGUCUGCAUAUCAAUAAGCGGAGGAAAAGAAACUAACAAGGAUUCCCUUAGUAACGGCGAGUGAAGCGGGAAGAGCUCAAAUUUGAAAUCUUCAAGGUUUUACCUUGACGAAUUGUAGUUUAAAGAAGUGUUUUCUGUUAGAUGAGUAGCAAAAGUUCCUUGGAAUGGGACAUCAUAGAGGGUGAGAAUCCCGUAUUCGGUUAUUCAUUCUAGCUUUGUGAUACACUUUCAAAGAGUCGGAUUGUUUGGGAAUGCAGUCCAAAAUGGGUGGUAAAUUUCAUCUAAAGCUAAAUAUUGGCGAGAGGACCGAUAGCGAACAAGUACCGUGAGGGAAAGAUGAAAAGAACUUUGAAAAGAGAGUUAAUCAGUACGUGAAAUUGUCAAAAGGGAAGCGUUUGACACCAGUGUUGUUUUUCCGAAAAUCAAUUACGAAUGGCUUGAUUCUGUGUUGUAUUGACCUUAUCAGCUUUCUGCACUUUUUUUCGAGUCUUUCUUAAUGCACUUUUCGGUUAACAAGUCAACAUCAAUUUCUUUUGUUGUAAAAGAGUAUUCGGAAGGUGGCUUUCUUUUCGGAGAAAGUGUUUAUAGCCCUAUACUUCUACAAUCGGGAGAGAUUGAGGUCUGCAGCGUAGAUCCUUCGGGGUUAGAUACACUUGUGCUAAGUUGUAGCCUUUUCAUAGACAACUUGUUGACUAUGAUUUAGUCAUGUCGGCUUACUCGCUUAUGCUAUUUUACCUACGCUUAGGAUGUUGAAGAUGUAGCACAUCAU